rnacentral:rRNA from 1 species
UACGUAGGGUGCGAGCGUUAAUCGGAAUUACUGGGCGUAAAGCGUGCGCAGGCGGUUUUUUAAGCCAGAUGUGAAAGCCCCGGGCUCAACCUGGGAAUGGCAUUUGGGACUGCAAGGCUUGAGUGCGGCAGAGGAGACUGGAAUUCCUGGUGUAGCAGUGAAAUGCGUAGAUAUCAGGAGGAAUACCGAUGGCGAAGGCGGAUCUCUGGGCCUUACCUGACGCUCAGGUGCGAAAGCUAGGGGAGCGAACAGG